UAUGACGUACUUGUACUGAUUGAGAUUUUAACACGAAGUGAGUGGCGAACGGGUGAGUAACACGUGGGUAACCUGCCCAGAAGUAGGGGAUAACACCUGGAAACAGAUGCUAAUACCGUAUAACAGAGAAAACCGCAUGGUUUUCUUUUAAAAGAUGGCUCUGCUAUCACUUCUGGAUGGACCCGCGGCGUAUUAGCUAGUUGGUGAGGUAAAGGCUCACCAAGGCAGUGAUACGUAGCCGACCUGAGAGGGUAAUCGGCCACAUUGGGACUGAGACACGGCCCAGACUCCUACGGGAGGCAGCAGUAGGGAAUCUUCCACAAUGGACGCAAGUCUGAUGGAGCAACGCCGCGUGAGUGAAGAAGGGUUUCGGCUCGUAAAGCUCUGUUGUUAAAGAAGAACGUGGGUAAGAGUAACUGUUUACCCAGUGACGGUAUUUAACCAGAAAGCCACGGCUAACUACGUGCCAGCAGCCGCGGUAAUACGUAGGUGGCAAGCGUUAUCCGGAUUUAUUGGGCGUAAAGCGAGCGCAGGCGGUCUUUUAAGUCUAAUGUGAAAGCCUUCGGCUCAACCGAAGAAGUGCAUUGGAAACUGGGAGACUUGAGUGCAGAAGAGGACAGUGGAACUCCAUGUGUA
rnacentral:rRNA from 1 species